GACGAACGCUGGCGGCGUGCCUAAUACAUGCAAGUCGAACGAACCGCGACUAGGUGCUUGCACUUGGUCAAGGUGAGUGGCGAACGGGUGAGUAACACGUGGGUAACCUACCUCAUAGUGGGGGAUAACAGUCGGAAACGACUGCUAAUACCGCAUAGGACAUAGGAUCACAUGAUUCUGUGAGGAAAGGUGGCGCAAGCCAUCGCUAAGAGAUGGACCCGCGGUGCAUUAGCUAGUUGGUAGGGUAAAGGCCUACCAAGGCGAUGAUGCAUAGCCGACCUGAGAGGGUGAUCGGCCACAUUGGGACUGAGACACGGCCCAAACUCCUACGGGAGGCAGCAGUAGGGAAUCUUCCGCAAUGGACGCAAGUCUGACGGAGCAACGCCGCGUGAGUGAAGAAGGUCUUCGGAUCGUAAAGCUCUGUUGUUAGAGAAGAACAGCGCAUAGAGUAACUGUUAUGCGUGUGACGGUAGCUAACCAGAAAGCCACGGCUAACUACGUG
rnacentral:rRNA from 1 species